UACGGAGGGUGCGAGCGUUGUCCGGAUUUAUUGGGUUUAAAGGGUGCGUAGGCGGCCUUUUAAGUCCGGGGUGAAAGCCCGUUGCUCAACAACGGAACUGCCCUGGAUACUGAGAGGCUUGAGUACAGACGAGGUUGGCGGAAUGGACCGAGUAGCGGUGAAAUGCAUAGAUACGGUCCAGAACCCCGAUUGCGAAGGCA
rnacentral:rRNA from 1 species